rnacentral:pre_miRNA from 1 species
AACGAGCAUACGGUGCCGAGAGCCGGCGUCUUUUCUUUAGCAGACGAUCUUUUCGACUCAAAAGCGGCGCGGGUUCCGCAGGGGGCGACAGUCGCAGAAACAAAAACAACAACUGAUAUGAAAAGAGCUCGCGCCACUUUUGAUUCGAAAAGAUCGUCUACUAAAGGAAAGACGCCGGCUCUCGGCGUCGUAUGAUCGU